AGUUCCUUAAGUACGUGAGACAUACGUGCCUUAGCCACGUUUUUGUUUCGAUCGUUGGGGAGUAAGUAGCUGGAGCUUGUCUCUGUUGUGGGAGCUCAAAAGCUUGUGUUGUUGUUCUGGUUUAACCACUAGAUGAUUGUUGUUUAACCAUUUACUUUUGGGCAACCAAAGACUGCUUUUUUUUGGUAAUGUGUCUUGAAUUCACGACAAUGAAAGGAAACUACCAGAAGGACAUCAAGGCCGCGCCUGAUCACAAGAAAAUGUGGUCAAAAUCAAAGAGGAGGACUUUUCUGCGCGCAAAUAUGGGAGAAAGGAGGCGAAAGGUCCGCGUUUGGUCGGCCAAGAGACCACAGCUGAGUCCGGACCGUGUCGACGGUACAGCUAACGUUACGGGGAAUCAAAGUUACGUACCAUCUGUAGCCAUGGCACCAAGAAACACGACGCAAUAUUUAAUGGACCUGGUGUACGCUGACCGAUUAGAUGUUUGUGAUAUCUUUGGACUUCCAACAGAGAGACUUCGAGAACGUGUUCUUCGGGAAUGAAAUCUGACGCGUUUCUGAAACCUAACUCGAUUUCGUCGGAACGAGACGACUGGGCAGCUGUGGACCCAUAGACAGUAAUAUGUGCGUGAAAAUGUCACUGCUUUUAUUGUUAGCCCUGUAAAAACAUGAAAUCGUAUCAGACAAUGUUUAUUGAAGCCAAGGCGUUCAACACAAUGCAUUUGAGUUGCAUGUUACGAGUUGAAUAUGGUUUCAUUUGUCGGCUCUCCUUGUUCUCACAGCAUUGCGCAGACUCCAACUCAGGGAGGUGGAACGCCCUGCGUCACGGCUGCGUGAUGACGUGUACACCACGCACCGCUCCCAGUACGGCCAGCAGGUAAACUCGCUCCACCCUUUGUGUACGCGGUGUAAGAGCGCUGCAGUAGCGUGCUGUCGCAGUGUAAUUACUGAGAAAUGUGCAUGCAUUGUUCUGCCAACGGAUGCAUGUGUUUUGGGAGACUUUUACAGGUUGCUGAUCCUCCUCGGUGGAUCUCAGCUGUCUGUGCAACCCACCCAGAGCCGUAGGAAAGCCUGCUCAUCGCUGCUGGGUAAAUGUUUGAAUGUAAAUCCACACAAGUGCACUCAGAGCUACAACUCAUGUGAUAUGAUCUACUUUGUGAGAACUUUUGUAAAUAUUGAUUGCAUUAACUAUUAAAAUUUAAUUAAGUUACAUCUGACUUUCAUGUUCUUUUGUUUUGUUUAUUAAACAUUUAUUAUAUACACUGCAUUCCGAUAUGAUUAUUUACCAGUAUCAAUCAAAUCCUUGCAAAUACACUACAUAAGCUGAUAUUUUCAAGGAAGCUUAAGUUUUAUAAAGUUGGCACAAGAAGGCCUCACACCGUAUGAACUCCUUCUGGUUUUCAUAGACCAAGAAUGCAUAGAACAGUGAUUUUCAGCUGGGUGCUGCAAGAUGACCUUAAUAAUAAAAUGAAAGCUAUAGAAUGUGCUAGCAGAUAUUUCUGGUUUAUUGUCUACAGCUUUUAUACAUGCUGUACUUUUGAAGUCACAAUUAGUUUGUAAGUUUUAAAAUGAGAUGUUUUUUUUUAGAAGUAUUGUUUGAGUUGUUGUCUUGCACAAUUGGGGCCCAUGGAGCUUGAGGACUGCUGCUGAAGAACAAUGGAGAAGAAAAUGGGUAACUUGUUCAGGUGAGAACGGAUAAUGCAUAAUCGUUAAGUAGGAGUGUUUCUGUUUUUCUUUUAGGGUCAGAAUUUAGCAUAAAUGAGACUUUGUUCCUUGAAUUUACACAAAGUGAGUGGGAAUGAUUGGG
rnacentral:lncRNA from 1 species